ACCAAACCUAGCCCAAAAACCACCAAACACAAAUAUUAUAUGCCAAUCAAACAAAACAUUCACCUGACAUUUAAAGUAUAGGAGAUAGAAAUUCUACACCGGCGCCAUAGAAAAAGUACCGCAAGGGAAAGAUGAAAGACCACUUCACAGUACAAAACAGCAAAGACUAACACUUCUACCUUUUGCAUAAUGAACUAACCAGAACACCCUUGGCAAAGAGCACUUCAGUCAAGCACCCCGAAACCAGACGAGCUACUUAUGGACAGUAAACAGAACUAACUCGUCUAUGUUGCAAAAUAGUGAGAAGAUCUAUAAGUAGAGGUGAAAAACCAACCGAGCCUGGUGAUAGCUGGUUGUCCAAGACAGAAUAUUAGUUCAACUUAAAAUUUACCCCAAGAACCCACACUUUAAUCCUAAUCCUACUGUAAAUUUUAAAUAUAGUCAAUAGAGGUACAGCUCUAUUGAAACAAGGACUAAACCUCGAAUGGAGAGUAAACCACAAACAUUAUCCAUUGUUGGCCUAAAAGCAGCCACCAAUAAAGAUAGCGUUAAAGCUCAAAAGCAAACCUAACCCAAAUCCCACAAACUAUCAAGUCACCUCCCACACAUUACACUGGACCAAUCUAUUACCCAAUAGAAGAAAUAAUGUUAGCAUCAGUAACAAGAAUAUUUUCUCCGAGCAUAAGCAUACAUCAGAACGGAUACCCCACUGAUAAUUAACAGAAAGGUAACCACAACCCACCACCCAAUAACAUCCCUCAACCACUGUUAACCCGACACAGGCAUGCACACCGGAAAGAUCCAAAGAAAUAGAAGGAACUCGGCAAACACGAAUCCCGCCUGUUUACCAAAAACAUCACCUCUAGCAUUACAAUUAUUAGAGGCACUGCCUGCCCAGUGACACAUGUUCAACGGCCGCGGUACCCUGACCGUGCAAAGGUAGCAUAAUCACUUGUUCUUUAAUUAAGGACCCGUAUGAACGGCCAAACGAGGAUUCAACUGUCUCCUAUCUCCAAUCAGUGAAAUUGACCUUCCCGUGAAGAGGCGGGAAUAAACAUAUAAGACGAGAAGACCCUGCGGAGCUUAAAUUAAUCAGCCCAACAACAAUAAUCUAUUACCCAAUAGGAAUAAACAAAUGCAGUAUGGGCUGCCAAUUUUGGUUGGGGUGACCUCGGAGCAAAACAAACCCUCCGAAUGAUAAGCACCAAGACCUACAAGUCAAGGUCCAUUAUAUCACUUAUUGACCCAAAAUAUUGAUCAACGGAACCAGUUACCCCAGGGAUAACAGCGCAAUCCUAUUAUAGAGCCCAUAUCGACAAUAGGGUUUACGACCUCGAUGUUGGAUCAGGACAUCCAAAUGGUGCAGCCGCUAUUAAAGGUUCGUUUGUUCAACGAUUAAAGUCCUACGUGAUCUGAGUUCAGACCGGAGCAAUCCAGGUCGGUUUCUAUCUAUAACUAACUUCUCCCAGUACGAAAGGACAAGAGAAGUAAGGCCAACUUUACUAAUGCGCCCUAGAUCCUAAUAGAUGAAGUUAAUCUAAAUCUAACCACCCGCACCAAACACGCUCUAAACCAGAGCCUU
rnacentral:rRNA from 1 species